rnacentral:lncRNA from 9 species
UGGCACAGUAUCUGACAUACAAAAAUGUUUGGCAACUGGUAAUUAUCAUUACUAAAGACUAUCUCUUUGUGGUCCCCCUUCCUGUGCCCGAGGCUUAGCACAGAAGAGCCCUGCACUCAGGGGACACGUGUUGAAAGAGGAACCCUAUUUGAGAUGGAAAGUCUUCUACCUACCACAGGAGGAAACCAAAUGACAUGGGCUCUAAGAGUGAAGAGGAGGGGAGGACUAUGUAGACAGAGCUGCAAAAGCCAGGGGGACCACAGAGCAGGGAAGCGCACUGCCACCGGUGGGAAGGCGUCCAGGUCAGAGGAGGAA